CGGGUACCAUUGCUAGAUGGUCACUUCGAUUAGUACAGAAAUUGGUUCCUGUGCUACCGGCUUAGGUUUGAACCUGCAGGGUCACACACAUUAGAGGUUCCUAUCUGAUCUAAUGGCUGAUGAAGAGUCCUAAUACUCAUGAACUAUGAGUCCUAUGUAUCUGGGACUCUAUGAUCGAGAAUCAGGAUUCUCUGAUCAUGAGUUUCACACAUUUUGGGUA
rnacentral:lncRNA from 1 species